rnacentral:lncRNA from 1 species
AGAAUAUGUUAUCUCCCCUGCAUCUUGGGAACUGUGGAUCCUUCAUCAGUGACCUGGAAUGGUUGCUAAGUGUGAUGCAGAAUGGGUUUCAAACCUAGUGAAGCUUGCACUAUUCAUCAGUUUUGGAAUACACUGAAGAAAGAUAAGAAGUGCAUUUUCUCUCAAACUGAGUCUGAAACUAUUCCUUAUAAUGGUACAGCCUUGGCCAGAAUCUGCCAAAGAAGAAAUGGUCAGUAAUUUCCUAUUUUAUCUGCAAGGUGAAGAGCAGAUUAAGGGACCUGAUGUUCAUUUUAGAAACCCAGAAAUUUAUUUUUAAAAAAUUUCCCAUUUUAUCAAAUGAAAAGUGCUCAACCAACUGGACUUCAAAUUUAAGAUGCCCUCUGACGAAGUACCUCAAAAGCUAAGCUCCCAUCAAUCCUGGAGAGAUAGGAUCGGCAGAGCACAGUGGUGGGAUGAAUGUUUUAAAAGGAACAGCAGCGACCAAAGAACUUUUUUAUGCAGAGAAAUCCCAAAUCUGGGGCAAAGACCUCCUGUUCAUUUUAUCUCACAAAAGGUAGCCAAAAAACGUAAAACAUCAGAUUGCAUUAGAUGA